rnacentral:misc_RNA from 1 species
GAAAUGCGAUAAGUAGUGUGAAUUGCAGAAUUCAGUGAAUCAUCGAAUCUUUGAACGCACAUUGCGCCCCAUGGUAUUCCGUGGGGCAUGCCUGUUCGAGCGUCAUUUACACCCCUCAAGCUCUGCUUGGUGUUGGGCGUCUGUCCUUCCUGCGGUGCCUAUAUCGACCCGCAUGGACUCGCCCCAAAGGCAUUGGCAGCGGUCCUGCCGGGCCUCCUAAUUGCGCAGCACUGUUCGCGCCCCCUGGAGCCCGCGCGGAUUUCAGCGUCCACGAAGCCAUCUCUCUGAACUUGACCUCGAAUCAGGUAGGGAUACCCGCUGAACCUAAGC